ensembl:lncRNA
CCCCUAGACCCUCCAAAAAAAAGUAUAGCCCUGCGGACACUGCUUUUAGCUCUUAGAGAGACCCAUUUUGGACUUCUGACCUCCAGAACUACAAGAAAUAAAUUUGUGUAAGAUAACAACUUUGUGUUAUUACCACCAAAAACAAAUUUUGUUUUGUUCUCAACUGGCUGACCUCAUACUACUGCCUUAUCCACACAGUAAAUAUUCUGUUAACAGUUGCCUCCAGGGAACAUUCCUCCUUCCUGCACUACCCCAAACCUGGGCAAAACUAAUGAGUCUUUUCUCAGGCUUCUAGGGGACCUCCCACUUGAGGCCCAAGGUCACGGAGCUCCUGGUCUCCACGUAGACUUGCCAGAUGUAGCAAAUAAAAGCACAGAACACAAAACAAGAACAAGAACAACAAAACCCACAAGCAGUAUUUGGGACAUGUACUUAAAAACUGUUGGUUGAGAAUCUAAAAUUUACAGUUAACUGGGCAGCCGGUAUUUUUUCUGGCAACCCUACCCUACCCACAUUCAGUGAGCCCACACAUAGUGGAUUUGGGUCGUUUUGCAUUUUCUUAAGAGAUUAAACGGAGAGAUGUGUCAUUUAUAAAAAUUCUGUCUCCGGAUUCUCUUUACCUCGCCCAGUCCUGGCAGACCUUCAGCCGCCCUGGCACGCGGGCCGGCGCGGGAAGACCCGCGCAGGCGCAGAGCGGCCGGAGGCGGGGCCAGCGGAUUGCCGUCGCGGAGCCUCGCGGACGGCCCGCGCAGGCGCAGAGCGGCCCACCCCGAGCGCCUGGGCCGGCACCUGUCACUUUAGAGGAGCUGCCAGCGCCCUCCCUCCCCCUCCCUCCCUCCCCCAGGGUGCCGGCCGUCGGUCCCCGGGGCUCCCAGCGCCGUCUAUUUAUAUCGCUGGGCCCGCACAGGCCCAUAUUGGGCAGUGCCUGCCUGGCAAGCCCGCCGGCCGCCCCGCCCCAGCCCAUCUGGCUCGGUCCACGCGGCCACAGGGCCAGGUCGCGGCGCCAUCGCUGCGGCCUCUGCGGAGCCAGUGGGGGCCGUGCCUCAAGCCGGGGGGGCGGCAGCUCGUAACUUUGUCCUCAUGCUGGCUUAUGGAGAUGUGGCUGUAGCCAGUCCAGACCUCUCAUCUAUAUGACACAUGGACACCUCCAACCAUCGAACCAGAGACGUGAGCUUCACACUGAUGAAGCCAACCUCAGGUCUCACACCAUCCUUGAACCAGUCACAGUGGCCCUACCCCAUUGACUCCAAGAGAAGGCAGGUUGGGAUGCUGGGGGAAACCCAAUAUUGUCCACUGUAAAGUCAUUUAUAAGAUACUACUAUGUUUAUAAAGAAAACAAACAUAUUGUACUAGUUAAUCCAUUUUUUAACUCUCUUUGAAACUAAUGCUGCCUGUGUUUUUAUUAAGAUAGCCCUAUGCCACCAAAUUCAACAAGGGUGGUUUGGUUCCUGCCUCAAAAAUACAAAACCCUAGGGUUAUGGUCAUAAUAUUUGGGUCCCCAGCAUCUCGUUUCUUCCUAGCAGCAUCAAGGUCAACACUUUAGAAACUGACGAGUCUUAACUGCCUGCAUUAUACUAGAUCUAGUGACCCUAUCUGGAAACUGCUCUUGGCUUUCCAGCACUGGGAUUGGUUAUCCUCUGAGUGAUUCUUAUGUAUCCCUACAGAUGGAAUAGUAGAAAUUUUCUAAUACUUAUUUCCUUAUGAGGAAACUUUUCUGGUUUUCAGCUCAAGGUAACAGCUGCCAUCUAUAAAGUGAAUUGAUGUGUUUAUGUACAAAGAAGCCCACGUAAUAUUAUUUGGGCUACCCGUAAUGUGGUGUAGGAGAGCUCAGAAAUAUGAUGACCUCCUAAUUACCGAUAAUUGGAUUCUCUUUGUAAAAUCUAAAACAAAUGAAAGUAAAAAGCAGAGGUUCACUUUUAACCUGCAAGGCCUCACAAAGAAAGCCUUAAGCUUUUAUUGAAAUCAAGCUGAGCCAUUAAUGCUGGAAAAUCUGGCAAAGAGGGUUUUAUUCCUAUUUGAAGUCUGUGCAGACUCUUAGAUUGGCUGGUUGUUAUAAUUCCACACACUCCAGCGCAGUGAUUUUUAGGUCUUAUAGUUGCCAUUACAUA